rnacentral:rRNA from 1 species
UACGGGGGGAGCAAGCGUUGUUCGGAUUUACUGGGCGUAAAGGGCGCGUAGGCGGUCAGCACAAGUCAGUUGUGAAAUCUCCGAGCUUAACUCGGAAAGGUCAACUGAUACUGCGCGGCUAGAGUGCAGAAGGGGCAACUGGAAUUCUCGGUGUAGCGGUGAAAUGCGUAGAUAUCGAGAGGAACACCUGCGGCGAAGGCGGGUUGCUGGGCUGACACUGACGCUGAUGCGCGAAAGCCAGGGGAGCGAACGGG